AUUGAACGCUAGCGGGAUGCUUUACACAUGCAAGUCGAACGAGUGGCGGACGGGUGAGUAAUAUAUCGGAACGUGCCCAGUAGCGGGGGAUAACUACUCGAAAGAGGGGCUAAUACCGCAUACUAAUGGCGCGGCCGAUAUCGGAUUAUCUAGUUGGUGGGGUAAAGGCUCACCAAGGCAACGAUCCGGAGCUGGUUUGAGAGGACGACCAGCCAACAUGGGCAUGUAGCACGGCCCAGAUUCAUACGAGAGGCAGCAUGGGGGAAUGUUGGACAAUGGGGGAAACCCUGAUCCAGCGAUCCGGCGUGUAUGAGAAGGCCUUCGGGUUGUAAAGUACUUUUGGCAGAGAAGCGGUAUCUGCAGAAUAAGCACCGGCUAACUACGUGCCAGCAGCCGCGGUAAUAC
rnacentral:rRNA from 1 species